UACAGAGGUGGCAAGCGUUGUUCGGAAUUACUGGGCGUAAAGGGCGCGUAGGCGGUCUUCUAAGUCUUGUGUGAAAUCCCUCGGCUUAACUGAGGAACUGCACGGGAUACUGGAUGACUUGAGUUCGGGAGAGGGAAGCGGAAUUCCGGGUGUAGCGGUGAAAUGCGUAGAUAUCCGGAGGAACACCGGUGGCGAAGGCGGCUUCCUGGACCGACACUGACGCUGAGGCGCGAAAGCUAGGGGAGCGAACAGG
rnacentral:rRNA from 1 species